CCGGCUAACUCUGUGCCAGCAGCCGCGGUAAUACAGAGGGUGCAAGCGUUAAUCGGAAUUACUGGGCGUAAAGCGCACGUAGGCGGUUUUUUAAGUCAGAUGUGAAAGCCCCGGGCUCAACCUGGGAAUUGCAUUUGAAACUGGAAAACUAGAGUGUGUGAGAGGGGGGUAGAAUUCCAAGUGUAGCGGUGAAAUGCGUAGAGAUUUGGAGGAAUACCAGUGGCGAAGGCGGCCCCCUGGCACAACACUGACGCUCAGGUGCGAAAGCGUGGGGAGCAAACAGGAUUAGAUACCCUGGUAGUCCACGCCGUAAACGAUGUCUACUAGCUGUUCGUGGUCUUGUACCGUGAGUAGCGCAGCUAACGCAUUAAGUAGACCGCCUGGGGAGUACGGUCGCAAGAUUAAAACUCAAAUGAAUUGACGGGGGCCCGCACAAGCGGUGGAGCAUGUGGUUUAAUUCGACGCAACGCGAAGAACCUUACCUACUCUUGACAUCUACAGAACUUAGCAGAGAUGCUUUGGUGCCUUCGGGAACUGUAAGACAGGUGCUGCAUGGCUGUCGUCAGCUCGUGUUGUGAAAUGUUGGGUUAAGUCCCGCAACGAGCGCAACCCUUAUCCUUAGUUGCCAGCGAGUUAUGUCGGGAACUCUAGGGAGACUGCCGGUGAUAAACCGGAGGAAGGUGGGGACGACGUCAAGUCAUCAUGGCCCUUACGAGUAGGGCUACACACGUGCUACAAUGGUAUGUACAGAGGGAGGCAAGCUGGCGACAGUGAGCGGAUCUCUUAAAGCAUAUCGUAGUCCGGAUCGCAGUCUGCAACUCGACUGCGUGAAGUCGGAAUCGCUAGUAAUCGCAAAUCAGAAUGUUGCGGUGAAUACGUUCCCGGGCCUUGUACACACCGCCCGUCACACCAUGGGAGUGGGUUGCAAAAGAAGUAGGUAGCUUAACCUUCGGGAGGGCGCUUACCACUUUGUGAUUCAUGACUGGGGUGAAGUCGUAACAAGGUAACCCUAGGGGAACCUGGGGUUGG
rnacentral:rRNA from 1 species